rnacentral:rRNA from 1 species
UACGUAGGGACCGAGCGUUGUCCGGAAUCAUUGGGCGUAAAGAGCGUGUAGGCGGCCACUUAAGUCCUGCGUGAAAUCUUGCGGCUCAACCGCAAGCGGUCGUGGGAAACUGGGUGGCUAGAGUGCGGGAGAGGAGAGUGGAAUUCCUGGUGUAGCGGUGAAAUGCGCAGAUAUCAGGAAGAACACCAAUGGCGAAGGCAGCUCUCUGGGACGGUACUGACACUGAGACGCGAAAGCGUGGGGAGCGAACAGG